rnacentral:rRNA from 1 species
GAUGAACGCUGGCGGCGUGCCUAAUACAUGCAAGUCGAGCGAACAGACGAGGAGCUUGCUCCUCUGACGUUAGCGGCGGACGGGUGAGUAACACGUGGAUAACCUACCUAUAAGACUGGGAUAACUUCGGGAAACCGGAGCUAAUACCGGAUAAUAUAUUGAACCGCAUGGUUCAAUAGUGAAAGACGGUUUUGCUGUCACUUAUAGAUGGAUCCGCUCCGCAUUAGCUAGUUGGUAAGGUAACGGCUUACCAAGGCAACGAUGCGUAGCCGACCUGAGAGGGUGAUCGGCCACACUGGAACUGAGACACGGUCCAGACUCCUACGGGAGGCAGCAGUAGGGAAUCUUGCGCAAUGGGCGAAAGCCUGACGGAGCAACGCCGCGUGAGUGAUGAAGGUCUUCGGAUCGUAAAACUCUGUUAUUAGGGAAGAACAAAUGUGUAAGUAACUAUGCACGUAUUGACGGUACCUAAUCAGAAAGCCACGGCUAACUACGUG